GACGAACGCUGGCGGCGUGCUUAACACAUGCAAGUCGAACGAAAAUACCAAGCUUGCUUGGUUGAUUAGUGGCGAACGGGUGAGUAACACGUGAGUAACCUGCCCUUUACUUUUCCUGGAUAACUGCUCGAAAGGGUAGCUAAUACGGGAUAUUCUGCCCGGCCUGCAUGGGUUGGUUUGGAAAGGUUGUUUUUUCUGGUGAGGGAUGGGCUCGCGGCCUAUCAGCUUGUUGGUGGGGUGAUGGCCUACCAAGGCUUUGACGGGUAGCCGGCCUGAGAGGGUGGACGGUCACACUGGGACUGAGAUACGGCCCAGACUCCUACGGGAGGCAGCAGUGGGGAAUAUUGCACAAUGGGCGCAAGCCUGAUGCAGCGACGCCGCGUGAGGGAUGAAGGCCUUCGGGUUGUAAACCUCUUUCGUCAGGGAACAAGGCACUACGUUUUGGUGGUGUUGAGGGUACCUGGAUAAGAAGCGCCGGCUAACUACGUGCCAGCAGCCGCGGUAAUACGUAGGGCGCAAGCGUUGUCCGGAAUUAUUGGGCGUAAAGAGCUCGUAGGCGGCUGGUCGCGUCUGUCGUGAAAACUUCCGGCUCAACCGGGGGCUUGCGGUGGGUACGGGCCGGCUAGAGUGCGGUAGGGGUAACUGGAACUCCUGGUGUAGCGGUGGAAUGCGCAGAUAUCAGGAAGAACACCGAUGGCGAAGGCAGGUUACUGGGCCGUUACUGACGCUGAGGAGCGAAAGCGUGGGGAGCGAACAGG
rnacentral:rRNA from 1 species